rnacentral:lncRNA from 1 species
AUCUUCUCAUGUUCAACCAUUUGAUUUUUCUCAUUUGCAAACCAUUCCGGGCUUCUAUUUUCUUUUUCAUGCAGAAAAAAGAAAGGGAAAAAAAUCUCCUGGAAAGAUAUUUGUCUGCAAUGGAAGCUGAACCGAAGCUCCACUGAGGGACACGUGAAAAAACACAGGCAAAAAGAACAACAGGUCAAAGAAGAAAGGUUUGGAUGGAAAAAACUGUGUGCUAUGGAGUAGGAAGGAUG